UCUCAUGGUUUGUCAAAGUGAGA
rnacentral:snRNA from 1 species